GAUGGCUGUGUUCCAGAUAUUAACAUUAUCAGAAGCCUGACCUCUGCAUGAUGCUGAGGAGGCUGAGGAACCCCAGCCAGGCCUUGCUGUGGUGCCUUCUAGACCUUGGACGGGAGAAAAGUAUUGCUACCUUCAGGUUUUUGGCACAUCCUCCGAGACUCAGAUGAGACCAUGAUGGCCUCCCCAAGGGGCAGGUGCUGAUACCUCUCCCGAGUCCCUGCCACUCUUCAUCCUGACGCCAUUCCCAAUCUCAGUAUCUAAAUGCCACAGUGCUCUUCGGGCAAAUUGGGUUGGGAACCACUGUUGCCU